rnacentral:rRNA from 1 species
AAGUCGAACGGUAACAUUUCUAGCUUGCUAGAAGAUGACGAGUGGCGGACGGGUGAGUAAUGCUUGGGAACUUGCCUUUGCGAGGGGGAUAACAGUUGGAAACGACUGCUAAUACCGCAUAAUGUCUUCGGACCAAACGGGGCUUAGGCUCCUGCGCAAAGAGAGGCCCAAGUGAGAUUAGCUAGUUGGUAAGGUAACGGCUUACCAAGGCGACGAUCUCUAGCUGUUCUGAGAGGAAGAUCAGCCACACUGGGACUGAGACACGGCCCAGACUCCUACGGGAGGCAGCAGUGGGGAAUAUUGCACAAUGGGGGAAACCCUGAUGCAGCCAUGCCGCGUGUGUGAAGAAGGCCUUCGGGUUGUAAAGCACUUUCAGUUGUGAGGAAAAGUUAGUAGUUAAUACCUGCUAGCCGUGACGUUAACAACAGAAGAAGCACCGGCUAACUCCGUGCCAGCAGCCGCGGUAAUACGGAGGGUGCGAGCGUUAAUCGGAAUUACUGGGCGUAAAGCGCACGCAGGCGGUUUGUUAAGCUAGAUGUGAAAGCCCCGGGCUCAACCUGGGAUGGUCAUUUAGAACUGGCAGACUAGAGUCUUGGAGAGGGGAGUGGAAUUCCAGGUGUAGCGGUGAAAUGCGUAGAUAUCUGGAGGAACAUCAGUGGCGAAGGCGACUCCCCUGGCCAAAGACUGACGCUCAUGUGCGAAAGUGUGGGUAGCGAACAGGAUUAGAUACCCUGGUAGUCCACACCGUAAACGCUGUCUACUAGCUGUGUGUGUCUUUAAGACGUGCGUAGCGAAGCUAACGCGCUAAGUAGACCGCCUGGGGAGUACGGCCGCAAGGUUAAAACUCAAAUGAAUUGACGGGGGCCCGCACAAGCGGUGAGCAUGUGUUUAAUUCGAUGCAACGCGAAGAACCUUACCUACACUUGACAUGCUGAGAAGUUACUA